UACGUAGGGUGCAAGCGUUAAUCGGAAUUAUUGGGCGUAAAGAGCUUGUAGGCGGUCUGUCGCGUCUGCUGUGAAAAUCCGGGGCUCAACCCCGGACUUGCAGUGGGUACGGGCAGACUAGAGUGUGGUAGGGGAGACUGGAAUUCCUGGUGUAGCGGUGAAAUGCGCAGAUAUCAGGAAGAACACCCGUGGCUAAGGCGGCUCUCUAGUACGGUACUGACGCUGAGACGCGAAAGCGUGGGGAGCGAACAGG
rnacentral:rRNA from 1 species